GGACUGCAGGUGCAGCAUAUGGAAGUUCCCAGGCGAGGGGUGGAAUGGUAGCUACAGCUGCUGGCCUACACCACAGCCACAGCAGUGCCAGAUAACACAAGAAGUUUAAGGACAGACCAAACAGCAUGGGUGAGUUGGAAACGUGACUUCCUUUUAAUUCAUGAAGCAGAGGGAACUUCCCUCCCACACCAAGCAUGGCUUAAAGACUGUCUCAACCAGAAACAUGGAUGGCGGAUUCGGACGCCAAGUGCUACGACAGCCCUGCCCCCCUCCUGAAAGGUCACACUGCUAUCAUUCCCAUUCUACAGUCAGGCAAACUAAAGCCACAUGGUCUGUGUGAGAUGGUGCUGGAUUCAAAUUCAGAACCUGGGCACUUAACUGCCCCUUGGUGUAGAAAAAGGGAAUUUAAAAGAUACAAUGGGAAGAGGAAGAAAAAUAUAAAUUUUCAGGGAAACCUUUGUACCUUAAAUUUAAUAAGGUGUUGGGGAAGUCAAUAUUUAUGUAAAUCAGUGUGUGUGUAAAUCAGCCUAUUAACUGGGGACUGUGCCAUGACCAAAGAUACCACCUUAUUCCAAUGCUUAUUCCAAUGGCCUCAAAGCACUUUAUAUUUUCAUUUUAUUUUAUAUAUCUAUUUUAACUCACAGGUAUCAUCUCUUUGGGCAAAAGUAUAAAAAAAGAUCACUUAAAUCCUUUUUUUGUCUGCCCAUUUAUUUCAGUAAAUCAAACAGACUUCUCCCACUAACUUAUAAUGUCAAGGAAGUUUUACAUUUGUAUAAAAUUGAUUUCAGGCUUCAUCUGCCUUCAAAUACAUUGUUUUUCCAUUUUACCACUAUCAUGCUCUGACUUAGGUAAUAUGAAUACCUCCCACUUGAAAAAAAAUAUAGACUAGGUGUUCCCACUGUGGCACAGUGGGUUAAGGAUCCAGCGUUGCGGCAGCUACAGCGUAGGUCAAAGCUGUGGCUCAGAUUUGAUCCCUGGCCUAGGAACUUCCAUAUGCCAUGGGUGUGGCCAAAAAAAAAAAUAGAUUCGUUUUCCACUUUAGAAGUAUUUCCCACUUGACAUACUGCAAUUUGCAUUUGUAAGAGACCCGGCUAAUGCCUAAGGCAGCACUCAGAGUCUCCUUUUCCAAUCCUGAGCUGGGCCCCACUGAGCCCUCUUCUCCCAAGGCCUCAUCCUUGGGCUCUGUCUUCUGUCUGCUGGUCCACUAAGCCAGUUUAGCCAGAAUCCCAACCCUUGAUUUUUCCUCUUGGUCGUUUCCCAUCCUCCAACCCACCCCAUCAUUGACUCUAAUUCCCCCGCUGUCUGGGCCAGAUUCAGAGUUGAGCCCCAUCUCACCCGCACUGUGACAGUCUUAACACCUUCAGUCCUAAAUAAAGUCUUCUGUACCAUUUUAACAAAUGUCAGAAUGACCUUUUACUUUCUUUUCUUUCCUUUCUUGUGUGUGUGUGUGUGUGUGUGUCUUUUUAGGGCUGCACCCAUAGCAUAGUGAAGUUCCCAGGCUAGGGGUUGAAUCAGAGCUGUAGCCACUGGCCUAUGCCACAGACACAGCAACACCAAAUGUGAACACGUCUUCGACCUACACCACAGCUGACAGCAACGCUGAUCUUUAACCCACUGAGCGAGGCCAGGGAUCAAACCUGCAUCCUCAUGGAUGCUAAUCAGGUUCUUAACUUGCUGAGCACAACGGUGAACUCCCAGGCUAUUUUUUUAGCAGGCAAAACAUCUCACCACUGACACUACGUGAAAGCAUGUAAGUGAAGGAGUAUUCAUAUAAUGCCAGAGGUUUGACAUUUAAAACCAAAAUUGAGAAUAAGAGUGCUCUGAGAGCAUUACAAAACAUGCCUCCUUCCUCCACUCUCCCAGGGGGUCUUAUUUACGCCCUCAGAAUCCAGAGAUGAUUCUCAGCCACUGUCCCCAUGGCAGCCCAACAUAGGUCCUAUCACCUCCAACUGGACCGUCACACUGCCCAGCACCCCCUACUGCCCCUCCCUCCUCUCCAGUUCACCACCACUGGUCACUGCCCAGGAACCCCACCACCCAUGCACUCAGAAUGGUGAGUCUGUUCCAAACCUCCUAGCUCUGGGCCUCCCCAAUCCCUUCUAGCUUCCCUAAACACAUCCUAAGUUCCUCUCCACCUUUGCUCCUGACACCAUGACAUCCUGGAAGGUCCCAAUGCCAGCUCACACCCACCCGAGUAUCUAAGACUGACACCUGUUUCUCCGACCUCAGCAUGGGCAGAGGUGGGUUAUAGCUGCCUGAUCUUCCCUAUUGGGUGGGAGCGUCACUAGCUGGGAAAACGUUUUAUUUCUUUGCCACUCACAGUGCCUAGCCCAGUGGAUCAGACACCGUAGGUAUUCAGUAAAUACUCAUGGAACAAUUGAACAUCACCGUUUAUUUUCUGGAAGGACAUUUUAUCCCUGGUUGCCCAGCCUGACAAACCUGUCAUUCGAAGCGAGCACGCGCCCUCUUGUGGCCUUGGGCUUACAGUACAUCCCAGAAAAGAGUUCAAUUACAGGGUUCUGAGAUUUACUCCCUGGGGGUUUUCUUCCUCCUAACCGUAGGCUGGGGCACAAAAAAAACAAUGCCAGUCCUGACCCUAAGAUAUGCCUUAGAGAAUUUAGCUCCUCCUCACAUCAACCAGGUAACAGGAGCUAUGGAUUCAUCAGGGCAUUUGAUCCCUCCCGCUUGAGAUGAGGAGACAUAAAAAAGCCCACCAACUGACUGCAAGGUGGGAAACUUGACUGGAUCGUGACUAAAACAAAUCAGCAUUUAGAGAUAUUUGGGAAAAUCAACAGCAGCCACAAACCUGCGCACAGAUAUCCACUACAGCUUUAUUCGUUAGCGAUGGGAAAAAGAAACAGCUACCAAGGAGUCACACUGUGGGACGCUGUGCGGCAAUGGAAAGGAGGGACUCUUGAGGCGUGCACAACAUGAGGAAGAUGAACGCUAAAAAUCAUGCUCUUUAAAGAAGCCCACACAAAAGUACACGCCACAUGAGUCUUUUUUUUUUUUUUUUUUUUUUUUUGGCUGCACAUGGCAUGCAGAACUUCCUGGGCCAGGGAUCAAACCCAUGCCACAGCAGUGACAAUGUCAGAUCCUUCACCACUAGGCCACCAGGGAACACCUUGUGAUUCUGUUUAAGUGAAGUUCCAGGAGAGGCAACGGCAGGAAAAAUUGGAAUAGGGGCUGCCUGUGGUUGUGGGGCUUGACUGGGGGAAUUUUCUGGGAUGAUGGGAAUAUUCUGUAACUUGAUAAGGGAUUUGGAUUACACAGAUGUAUGUGUUCAUCUUAACUCACCAAAUAUUACAGUUGAAAAAUGGGUGUCUGUCAUUACACAUGUAAAUGUUACUCCAAAAAGGAAAAAAAAAAAAA
rnacentral:lncRNA from 1 species